rnacentral:rRNA from 1 species
AUCUACAGCCAAAGCACUCGGGACACACUGGAUCUUAUCUGAUCUCGGAAGCCAAGCAGUGUCAGGCUUGGUUAGUGCUUAGAUGGGAGUCCUCCUGGGAACACAAGGUACUGUAGGGG